rnacentral:rRNA from 1 species
GACGAACGCUGGCGGCGUGCUUAACACAUGCAAGUCGAACGGAAAGGCCUGCUUUCCCUUGUGGAUUGCGGGUACUCGAGUGGCGAACGGGUGAGUAACACGUGAGUGAUCUGCCCCCAACUUGGGUAUAAGCCUGGGAAACUGGGUCUAAUUCCCGAUAGGACUGCAGGGUGGUGCCUGUGGUGGAAAACGAUUUUCUAGUGGUUGGGGAUGAGCUCGCGGCCUAUCAGCUUGUUGGUGGGGUAAUGGCCUACCAAGGCGGCGACGGGUAGCCGGCCUGAGGGGGUGGACGGCCACAUUGGGACUGAGAUACGGCCCAGACUCCUACGGGAGGCAGCAGUGGGGAAUAUUGCACAAUGGGCGGAAGCCUGAUGCAGCGACGCCGCGGGGGGGAUGACGGCCUUCGGGUUGUAAACUCCUUUCGACCGCGAGGAAGCCACCUGGUUGGAAGGGUGGUGACGGUAGUGGUAGAAGAAGCACCGGCUAACUACGUG